rnacentral:sRNA from 1 species
UUUUUUAUAUUGUGUAACUGCCAUGUUUUUAUUUUAUAUUUUAUUUAUAUAUAAUAUAUAUAAGUGAUAAAAAUAAUACACAUUAACUUUUCACAAAGAAUUUUUAUAUGUUAAAAUAUUACAAAUGGAUAUAAUAACAAAAUUGUUGUUACAUAUUUUAUUCAUCUAGAAAAUAUUUAAAUAAGAUAUUUGUUAACACGAAAAAAAAAAAAAAAAUAAUAAUAAUAAUAAAUAAAAUACAUAUAUAUAUAUAUAUAUAUAUAUUUAACAAUUUAGAGGGGUAAAAUAUGUCAGUUUUAUGUCACACCUUAUUUAGUUUUUUUAAGGACCUUAGGAGUUUAUACAAACCAUAUACAGCAUUUUCUUUCUUUUUCUUCCCAUGUGCUAUAAAUAUGUAUGGAAUUAUAAAAUUUAAUAAUUCAGAUUACCAUAUAAAUAAAAGCGUAACAGAUGCCAAUGCAUAUAUGAAAAGGACUGCCCAAGAAAAAUAAUACAAUGAAAUAAGAUAGAAAUUGAACAAUAUCUUUUAAAUGGAAAUGAGGAAGGAAGAAAGAAAAAAAGAAAAAAAGAAAAUCGUAUAAUAUUCCCUAAAGAAAUAAAAUAUUAUAUUAUAUAUAUAUAUAUAUAUAUAUAUAGUUGAAUGGUUUAAUAAUAUAGAACAAAUUGAAUAUUUUUUUUUAAGAAUGUGUAAAAAAGUAUAAAUGAUAAACGUAUAUUCGUUUUAAUUUAAAAAACCAAAAAAAACCAAAAAAUAAUAAUGAAUAGGAAUAACUGCAAUGUUGUAUAACAUAUUGUAAAUGUUUUAUUUUUAAACAUCAAAAUGUUUUUUUCAUUAAUUUUUUUUGAUAUUUUUUUUUUUUUUCUCCAUUUGAUAUAUAUCUAUUUUUUUGUUUUAGAAAAACUUUUUCAAACAUAACUAUAAAACAAAAUACUUAUGUAAAUAUUUAUGUUUAAUAUGAGAAA